rnacentral:rRNA from 1 species
CGGUAAACAAAGGGAAGCGAUCACGUGAGUGUAAGCAAAUCUCAAAAAUAAACGUCCCAGUUCGGAUUGCAGUCUGCAACCCGACUACAUGAAGCUGGAAUCGCUAGUAAUCGCGAAUCAGCAUGUCGCGGUGAAUACGUUCCCGGGUCUUGUACACACCGCCCGUCACACCAUGGGAGUUGGCAACGCCCGAAGCCAGUGACCCAACCGAGAGGAGGGAGCUGUCGAAGGCGGGGCCGGUAACUGGGGUGAAGUCGUAACAAGGUACC